rnacentral:rRNA from 1 species
GACGAACGCUGGCGGCGUGCCUAAUACAUGCAAGUUGAGCGCUGAAGGUUGGUACUUGUACCGACUGGAUGAGCAGCGAACGGGUGAGUAACGCGUGGGGAAUCUGCCUUUGAGCGGGGGACAACAUUUGGAAACGAAUGCUAAUACCGCAUAAAAACUUUAAACACAAGUUUUAAGUUUGAAAGAUGCAAUUGCAUCACUCAAAGAUGAUCCCGCGUUGUAUUAGCUAGUUGGUGAGGUAAAGGCUCACCAAGGCGAUGAUACAUAGCCGACCUGAGAGGGUGAUCGGCCACAUUGGGACUGAGACACGGCCCAAACUCCUACGGGAGGCAGCAGUAGGGAAUCUUCGGCAAUGGACGAAAGUCUGACCGAGCAACGCCGCGUGAGUGAAGAAGGGUUUCGGAUCGUAAAACUCUGUUGGUAGAGAAGAACGUUGGUGAGAGUGGAAAGCUCAUCAAGUGACGGUAACUACACAGAAAGGGACGGCUAACUACGUG